rnacentral:lncRNA from 1 species
GUUUGCCUUUCCAGAGAUGUGGAUGAGAAAUGGCAAGCAAUCCAUCUAGCUGGGAACACGUUUGCCACGGCUUGUUCAGAAGCACUCAUUGCAGCCCAGAGAGGAUAAUGUCCUGUAAUGCAUAAACAUCUUUCCCUUGGCACUUAUCUCUGCAGAGACUGUGACAUGAGGCAGAUUUUACCAGAGGAAGGCUGCUUACCUAAAAUAAAUGCGUUUGAACACCUGCAGCUAAUUCAAUAAUCAUCGGAAAGACUUCAGUUGUUGUAAUGCUUGCACUGCCUGCAGCAUUCACCUCUGAGUCUGUUGUUUCCAGCCUACCCAAUUAUUACAAGUGUAUUAACUCUAAAUAAAUGCUAAUCUAUGAAGUGAAGAAAGAAGGAAAAAUUAAACACAUCAACACAAUUGUGAUGUUUUGGUGUUAAAUACUUAAUUUUUAAGACCACAUUGAACUUGCAUAUAAAUUGUUACGUAAUGAUGCUUCCUGUCUCUUUCAUGAUGAAUAGUCAAAGCCCAAAUAUUUGAACUCAUAACCCUAAGAACACAGAGUGGAAUUCCUCCACCCCAUUUUUAGCCAUUGAAACAGACACCUCAGGAUAGGAAAAUCAUCCAAACUUCUUCAUUGGCUGGUAGAAAUAAAUUGCUGCAGAAGGAUUCAUGCUGCCAUAAAACAAUCAGGCAAUGAAGCGAGUAGCUUGGGUCUGCCGCCUGUCCUUCAGCCAGCCAAAAUCAAGUGAGACCAAUCACAUACUUACUGCUGUGGGACAUUCAGAUCAGAGUCAUCUGUGGGAAGACUGGCACUGUGGCGAGCUGAAAACCCCAGUGCUCUGGGAAGAACAAAUCGUGACGUGGACAUCAGCCUCUCCCUGACUUCUCUGUAGCUGUGGAAAGCAUCCAGCAACAUUUGGGAUCCCGCCAGCAAAGAUGAGGAGAAAGUGCACUUAAAGAGCCAAGCGGGGGCUAGCCUGUGAUGUGUGCCUGUGAUGUACUGCCUAGUGAACACCACAAGCACAGUUUUAUGCUUACUGUAACAGCCAAGCAUAAGUCAUCAACUCAGCGGAGAAACUAACACUGUCCUUGUUUCUA